ACGGCGGCCGUCGAGAUGCCGCCGCCACCGCCGGCCGCCUCUCGGCCCUCCUCCGCCGGUGCGGCGUCUGGCGCGGCGCUUUCCCCGGGCGCGCAGCUCCACGCCCAGGACCUGGUCGGUGGCCGUCUUCCGGAUGCCACCCUGGACACGACCCCGUCCUGCUCUGCUGCCGCUGCGGUGUUCGAUGCAAUGCCCUCGCCGUCCAUGCGCGCGUACAACGUCCUGCUGGCGGCAUCUCCUCCCGUGGCGGCGCUGGAGAUCCUCGCGCGCCUCCUCGGGGCGGGACACCGGCCCGACAGGUACGCCGUUCCCGCCGUGCUCCGUGCGCCGACAGAACUGCGGGACGCGGGUUGUUGGCGCCGGACUCCACGGCUUCGCUGUCCGGCUCGGGGUUGCUAGAGAAUGUUGUUAUUUCCGGUGUGCUGCUGGAGAUGUACGCCAAGGCUCGGAUGUUGGAUGAUGCUGUUGGAGUGUUAGGCCCUGGAUCUUUUCAUGAGGGGGAAGGGUGUGGCCGUGAACAUGGCCAGUGAUCUACGGAGCAGGCUCAUUGUCUGUGCAAAGGAAGGGGAGCUGAUGAUGGGCCUGGGGAUAUCCAUGGCAGGAUGGUGCCUGGUUGUAGUUGGGUUGAUGUGAAGGGAAGAGCCCAUUAGCCUUCCGUGCUACUUGAGGUGGCGGAUGCUCUGGGUUUUAGAUCGGUUACUCAAGAAUAUGGGAGCUUCAGAAUCUGAAGACGAACAUCUAAGCAUGUACGGUGAGCUAAUUGUCCACUGAAUUCGUGAUGGUCAGGUAUUGACAGAGUCAGAUUGGUUUGAGGAUAAAGCAACUGACCUUUCUUGAUUGCUGGCAUGCUUCAAAAUAAAAAAAAAAAUGAUGUGCAGCAAGGAAUUCUAUGUGCUGGUCUGCCAAUGUUGGAGGACCUCGAACCUUUAAUGAUCACAGAGUGCCAUGCUGAAUCAUGAAGUGCUAAGGUGGGAGAAUUAAGGGUGAAUGGGUGAUUCAUUAAAGGCAACAAAUGUCUGCUCUAAUUCGACUGCAACGGCAGUAGCACUAGCACUAGUGUCUUAUGCCAUUGAACUGCACAGCAGGUGGCUCAAACCAAGUGAUUCUGAACAUUGUGAUAAUAUGAGAGUAAAGAGAACUGAUAAACUUCUCCAAACGGCAGCUCACAAUUAGUCAAUGAGUCAAUUAGAGCAAUGGUAAUUCUCUAUUGGUAAGCGGUAGUCAGAGUUUCAAUGCGAUAUUGGUAAGCUUAAUUAACUCCAAAUUGCUUUGCCAGGCACCUUUGCUGGCACCGUCCAGCAGUGGCUUUGGCCUGAAUCCACUUCAUGACAACAAUUUAGUACUGCAGAGAACAAAGAUUGUUUUUCCUAGUUAUUACUGCCAUCUUUUGGCCUUCUGGGAGCAAGGAGACGUCCAGCUUCCAAGCUGUGUGCUCUCUCCAGAUGCAGAUUUACUCUCUGGACCAUGUGGUUUUGCACACUGAUCGAGCAGAAUUUGUUCAGAAAAAAUAACUCUAGUCAAGGAAAGGAAUUGUCUCUGCCGACUGAAACUAUUGUUAAUCGAGCUUAACACAGCAUUGACAAGGCAACUUUACUGCAGAAUUUUGUAUCUUGUCCUGAAAAUAGAGCCUAUGGAUCAAUAUUCAAGUUGUUACAUUCACUGAAAAUAAGAUUAAUUGCAUAACAUGUCAGGUCUAGCAUUAGCAGAAACACUAACCCUCAAGUACAAUAAGCAUUAUAACAGUUGAAUUAGAUAUCUUAUCAGUGAGUGACCCUUUUCCAUCCUUUACAAUGAAUGACUCUUCCAUCCUUUAUAAUGAACGACUAUUCCUGAA